GGAAGGAUGUCCGAGCGGUUUAUGGUGCCAGUCUUGAAAACUGGUAGGUUAAUAGCCUCGCGAGUUCGAAUCUCGCUCCUUCCGCCA
rnacentral:tRNA from 1 species